rnacentral:rRNA from 1 species
AUGCGCCUCCCGCUGCCUUCCCCUACCCUAACGACCCCUCCUGUUGCCAGCCUCCCCGACCCUAGCGCCCCACCCUCUGCUGGUUGCCGGAGUCGCGACACCCACCUCCGCGCUGCCGGCCAUGGGAGCCACCACCGGCGGCCACGCCCCCGCGCACCUCAUCCCGUCGGCGCAACCCUGCGAGCUCCUUCCUCCAGCCGUUGUCGGAUACCGGCUACGCGAUUGGAUCUCAGUGCCUCGUGCCUCCAAGAGCAUGGAUCACUUUCCACUUGCCUGAUCCAGAUAGAGGAAGGUGCGGCGGUGCCGUAG